rnacentral:lncRNA from 1 species
UUCCAUUUGCGUGGUGGGGUGAAAUGGAGCUUGGGACGUUUCUUUAAGGCUCUCUCCCCUCACACUGCUUCUGUUUCACUGCAGCCUCCAUCCAGCCCUGAGGAGGUGAAGUCCCUCUGGCUUUUAUUUUUAAGCUUAAGACGAUAAUGUCAUAAGGAACCUGAUAGACAGGUCAUUCUCCCACAGAGUGCACAUAUUUUCCCAGUUACGGAAAACCUCUACAUCCUGGGAAAGACACAGGUCACAGGACCUAAAAGAUCAACAAGCAAAAACAAGAGGGCCUGUUGUAAGCACUGAAUUCAAAACAACAAAGAUGCCUGAAAGAGGUAGCAAGUUUCACAGAGCUGACACUGCCUCUGACAGCACCCCUUCUUUGGCUCUCUGCUCCUCAACCCUCCCUUUAUGAUGCCACCAUAAUAAAAAGUAUUUCCGCUCAAAAAGCUUAGGGCUU